rnacentral:rRNA from 1 species
CAGAGUUGAUCCUGGCUCAGGAUGAACGCUAGCGACAGGCCUAACACAUGCAAGUCGAGGGGCAGCGGAGAGGUAGCAAUACCUUUGCCGGCGACCGGCGCACGGGUGAGUAACACGUAUGCAAUCCACCUGUAACAGGGGGAUAACCCGGAGAAAUCCGGACUAAUACCCCAUAACAUUCGAAGAGGCAUCUCUUUGGGUUGAAAACUCCGGUGGUUAUGGAUGGGCAUGCGUUGUAUUAGCUAGUUGGUGGGGUAACGG